CUCUCCACGUGACAUAUUAUGGUUGACAUGAUUUGCCAAUAAGUUUAUGAAUUAUUAAUGAGUGUUUGAAAUAUAUAUAAUGAACAGUUACCCAUCUGCGGUAAACGUCACUGUCCGUACACCAACAUUUCAACCGGUUGAGAAUUUGACACAUUUUUACAAGUCAGUUCGGUACACACAUCAAUAAAGGCACUCGUGAGCCAAUCCUAUAUAAAUAAAAUUCGAAACAAAUAAGUCUUUAAACGAUUUUGGAUUGAGUUAGGCCUGGCACAUGAGUGGAGCGGCAAAUGAAUCAAUGUCGGCCCAAUGUCGCGUUAUGGGUUAGUCGUAGUUUUUUAGGUUCAAUUUAUAAGUAGAAGAGGAAUGGUUGUUAAAGAGUU